UACGUAGGGUGCGAGCGUUGUCCGGAAUUACUGGGCGUAAAGAGCUCGUAGGUGGUUUGUCGCGUCGUCUGUGAAAUUCCGGGGCUUAACUCCGGGCGUGCAGGCGAUACGGGCAAUACUUGAGUGCUGUAGGGGAGACUGGAAUUCCUGGUGUAGCGGUGAAAUGCGCAGAUAUCAGGAGGAACACCAAUGGCGAAGGCAGGUCUCUGGGCAGUUACUGACGCUGAGGAGCGAAAGCAUGGGUAGCGAAUAGGAUUAGA
rnacentral:rRNA from 1 species